GUCCUAAGGUAGCGAAAUUCCUUGUCGGGUAAGUUCCGACCCGCACGAAAGGCGUAACGAUCUGGACGCUGUCUCAACGAGAGACCCGGUGAAAUUGU
rnacentral:rRNA from 1 species